rnacentral:rRNA from 1 species
CCUACGGGUGGCUGCAGUGGGGAAUAUUGGACAAUGGGCGAAAGCCUGAUCCAGCCAUGCCGCGUGAAUGAUGAAGGCUUUAGGGUUGUAAAGUUCUUUCACCGAUGAAGAUAAUGACGGUAGUCGGAGAAGAAGCCCCGGCUAACUUCGUGCCAGCAGCCGCGGUAAUACGAAGGGGGCUAGCGUUGUUCGGAAUUACUGGGCGUAAAGCGAGCGUAGGUCGCUCCGUGUGUCAGUGGUGAAAGCCCAGAGCUCAACUCUGGAACUGCCAUUGA